rnacentral:rRNA from 1 species
UUCGACCUGAACUCAGACGUGGUUACCC